rnacentral:rRNA from 1 species
GGCUCAGAACGAACGCUGGCGGCGUGCCUAACACAUGCAAGUCCAACGUGAAAGGGAGCAAUCCCCCCGGUAGGGUGGCAAACGGGUGAGUAAUACAUGGGUGAUCUACCUUAGGGAUGGGGAUAUCCUUCCGAAAGGAGGGGCAAUACCGAAUAUUGUCCGGAGCCGUGAAGGGUUCCGGGAAAGGGAGGCCUCUGAUACAAGCUUUUACGCCUUAAGAUGAGCCCAUGGCCCAUC